rnacentral:rRNA from 1 species
UGAUCUGUGGGAUCAGUGGCGAACGGGUGAGUAACACGUGAGCAACCUGCCCCUGACUCUGGGAUAAGCGCUGGAAACGGCGUCUAAUACUGGAUAUGUGACGUGACCGCAUGGUCUGCGUCUGGAAAGAAUUUCGGUUGGGGAUGGGCUCGCGGCCUAUCAGCUUGUUGGUGAGGUAAUGGCUCACCAAGGCGUCGACGGGUAGCCGGCCUGAGAGGGUGACCGGCCACACUGGGACUGAGACACGGCCCAGACUCCUACGGGAGGCAGCAGUGGGGAAUAUUGCACAAUGGGCGCAAGCCUGAUGCAGCAACGCCGCGUGAGGGACGACGGCCUUCGGGUUGUAAACCUCUUUUAGCAGGGAAGAAGCGAAAGUGACGGUACCUGCAGAAAAAGCGCCGGCUAACUACGUGCCAGCAGCCGCGGUAAUACGUAGGGCGCAAGCGUUAUCCGGAAUUAUUGGGCGUAAAGAGCUCGUAGGCGGUUUGUCGCGUCUGCUGUGAAAUCCGGAGGCUCAACCUCCGGCCUGCAGUGGGUACGGGCAGACUAGAGUGCGGUAGGGGAGAUNGGAAUUCCUGGUGUAGCGGUGGAAUGCGCAGAUAUCAGGAGGAACACCGAUGGCGAAGGCAGAUCUCUGGGCCGUAACUGACGCUGAGGAGCGAAAGGGUGGGGAGCAAACAGGCUUAGAUACCCUGGUAGUCCACCCCGUAAACGUUGGGAACUAGUUGUGGGGUCCAUUCCACGGAUUCCGUGACGCAGCUAACGCAUUAAGUUCCCCGCCUGGGGAGUACGGCCGCAAGGCUAAAACUCAAAGGAAUUGACGGGGACCCGCACAAGCGGCGGAGCAUGCGGAUUAAUUCGAUGCAACGCGAAGAACCUUACCAAGGCUUGACAUAUACGAGAACGGGCCAGAAAUGGUCAACUCUUUGG